rnacentral:rRNA from 1 species
CCUACGGGGGACUGCAGUGAGGAAUAUUGGGCAAUGGACGAGAGUCUGAACCAGCCAAGCAGCGUGAAGGAAGACUGCCCUAUGGGUUGUAAACUUCUUUUAUAUGGGAAUAAAAUGUUCCAUGCGUGUUACUUUGUAUGUACCAUACGAAUAAGGAUCGGCCAACUCCGUGCCAGCAGAGGCGGUAAUACUGAGGAUUCGAGCGUUAUCCGGAUUUAUUGGGUGUAAAGGGAGCGGAGCUGGAUUGUUAAGUCAGCUGUGAAAGUCUGCGGCUCAACCGGAAAAUUGCAGGUGAAACUGGCAGUCUUGAGUACAGUAGAGGUGAGCGGAAUUCGUGGUGUAGCGGUGAAAUGCUUAGAUAUCACGAAGAACUCCGAUUGCGAAGGCAGCUCACUGGACUGCAACUGACGCUGAGGCUCGAAAGUGUGGGUAUCAAACAGGAUUAGAUACCCCUGUAGUC